GAUGAACGCUGGCGGCGUGCCUAAUACAUGCCAGUCAAGCGAACAGACGAGGAGCUUGCUCCUCUGACGUUAGCGGCGGACGGGUGAGUAACACGUGGAUAACCUACCUAUAAGACUGGGAUAACUUCGGGAAACCGGAGCUAAUACCGGAUAAUAUAUUGAACCGCAUGGUUCAAUAGUGAAAGACGGUUUUGCUGUCACUUAUAGAUGGAUCCGCGCCGCAUUAGCUAGUUGGUAAGGUAACGGCUUACCAAGGCGACGAUGCGUAGCCGACCUGAGAGGGUGAUCGGCCACACUGGAACUGAGACACGGUCCAGACUCCUACAGGAGGCAGCAGUAGGGAAGCUUCCGCAAUGGGCGAAAGCCUGACGGAGCAACGCCGCGUGAGUGAUGAAGGUCUUCGGAUCGUAGAGCUCUGUUAUUAGGGAAGAACAAAUGUGUAAGUAACUAUGCACGUCUUGACGGUACCUAAUCAGAAAGCCACGGCUAACUACGUG
rnacentral:rRNA from 1 species